CUUCCAGUCGUCCGAACAGCUGAGCGGCUGUUUCAGGGGUUUUCUCUUUUGCCCAAACGCCACCUAAUAAAGUUCUGAAAGGCUGAAGAAAAAAGACCUUUCAGACUUCUAGGCCUUCAACGAGGUGCCCUGAAGAGAGCGCAGGAUGGCGCCCAGGGGUGGCGAAGGGGGCUCCUCCUGGGUCCCACUUGGCACGGGGCAGUCCGCAUCCCUGUCCAGCCGCUGAUGUCGCCGGGUCGAAGCAGCUGGAGUCCACGGUCGCGAGGCCACCGGCCUCUCGGCGUUUCUCCAGCCUGUCAGCUUCCGGCCAGCCCACGCCAGCAUCUGUCGUCAGGCAGAGAAGCCACAAAGGUGCUUGCUGCCAAGGACCAAGACAACGCAGAAGCCGAAGGGGAAGACGACCUGCAGGUGCCGGAGGUCCACGGCCGGGGCCUUGUGGUGACCGCGGGAGCCUGGCUCCUCAGCCGCGUGGGCGUCAAGAUCCGGGUCCUCCUGCCGGCGGCCGUUCGCUUCCGGCGGCCGCUUUCCCGCCACCGCCGCCGCGGCCCCGGGCCUGGGCGAGCCUGACUCCUCCACCGCGGUGCGGGGGAUGGAAGGAGCCGGAGAGGAGGUGCAGACGGUUCGUGAAUGUGUUGUUUUCUGUGCGGCCAAGAGAACACAACAAGCAUUUUGUGCAGUGAUGACCGAAUUUCCCUGUGGCCAGCCUACUGUGUGGGACAUCAGAAAGCAAGAAGGGGCAAGAGACUUCCAUUAUGGCUGUGGAGGCUGCUGACAGUAGCUACAGGAAAUGGAUUCUCUGAGCCGUGCCUUCCUGUCAGGAGUGAAAGCAAGCGGUCCUGGAGAGCUGCCUCUUCAUCUCUGGGCUGGGGAAAAGGAGGGGUUUUAUUUAUUUCCAGUUUCUUCCUUCUAGUAAGAAAUCAGUUAUGUGAAUGUGCUAAUCAAAUUCCUUCAUACACAAUUAUAAUUUUAAGGAAUAAAUAAGUGGAACACCUUAAACAUGCCGUACCCUCUGAGUACUCAAAAAUCUUGAUUUUUUUUCCUGAUAUAAUAUAAAAGCCUUGCAUUUAAAUUAGAGUCUUGCACCUAAUGAUAUAAAACAGUUUUAGUCAGUUAUGAAUCAAUUAUUUGACUUCAAAGAUAAGGUUAGCUGUGAUUAACUAUCUCAGUUUUUCCUAGCUUUUAUUUCAUGGAAUUUUAUGUUUUUCCAUAAAGAAAAUUUCUUACACGUA
rnacentral:lncRNA from 1 species